ACCAUGAGAGCCGGUAAUACCCGAAGUCCGUAGCCUAACUGCAAGGAGGGCGCGGCCGAAGGUAGGACUGGUAAUUAGGGUAAAGUCGUAACAAGGUAAC
rnacentral:rRNA from 1 species